UUCCCAGACUCCUACGGGAGGCAGCAGUCGGGAAUAUUGCGCAAUGGAGGAAACUCUGACGCAGUGACGCCGCGUAUAGGAAGAAGGUUUUCGGAUUGUAAACUAUUGUCGUUAGGGAAGAGAAAGGACAGUACCUAAGGAGGAAGCUCCGGCUAACUACGUGCCAGCAGCCGCGGUAAUACGUAGGUGACAAGCGUUGUCCGGAUUUACUGGGUGUAAAGGGCGCGUAGGCGGAUGUGCAAGUCAGUCGUGAAAUACCGGGGCUCAACCCCGGGGCUGCGAUUGAAACUGCACACCUUGAGUAUCGGAGAGGAAAGCGGAAUUCCUAGUGUAGCGGUGAAAUGCGUAGAUAUUAGGAGGAACACCAGUGGCGAAGGCGGCUUUCUGGACGACAACUGACGCUGAGGCGCGAAAGUGUGGGGAGCAAACAGGAUUAGAUACCCCUGUAAUC
rnacentral:rRNA from 1 species